CUCUUUUUGAUUAUAAUUUAAAGUAGGGCCUGCCCACUGAAUAUUUAAAGGGCCGCAGUAUUUUGACUGUGCAAAGGUAGCAUAAUCAUUAGUUUUUUAAUUGAAAGCUAGAAUGAAUGGUUUGAUGAAAAAAUUUCUUUCUUUAUUUAAUUUUAAAAUAAAUUUAUUUUUAAGUUAAAAAGCUUAAAUAAUUUUAAUAGMCGAGAAGACCCUAUAGAGUUUAAUUUUUUAAAUAAAUAAAUUUUUAGAAUUAAAAAAUUUAAUUAUCUAAAAAAAUUUAAUUGGGGUGAUUAUAAAAUUAAAUUAACUUUUAUUAUUUGAAACCAUUAAUUUAUGAAUAAAUGAUCCAUAAUAAUGAUUAAAAGAAUAAAUUACCUUAGGGAUAACAGCGUUAUUUUUUUUUAGAGUUCAAAUCGAAAAAAAAGAUUGCGACCUCGAUGUUGGAUUAAAGUUAAUUUUAGGUGCAGAAGCUUAAUAAUUGGGGCUGUUCGACCAUUAAAACUUUACA
rnacentral:rRNA from 1 species